rnacentral:rRNA from 1 species
GGCGAGCGUUGUCCGGAUUUACUGGGCGUAAAGGGUGCGUAGGCGGAUAUUUAAGUCAGAUGUGAAAACCCCGGGCUUAACUUGGGGACUGCAUUUGAAACUGGAUAUCUAGAGUGCAGGAGAGGAAAGCGGAAUUCCUAGUGUAGCGGUGAAAUGCGUAGAGAUUAGGAAGAACACCAGUGGCGAAGGCGGCUUUCUGGACUGUAACUGACGCUGAGGCACGAAAGCGUGGGUAGCAAACAGGAUUAGAUACCCUGGUAGUCCACGCUGUAAACGAUGAGUACUAGGUGUAGGAGGUAUCGACCCCUUCUGUGCCGCAGUAAACACAAUAAGUACUCCGCCUGGGAAGUACGGUCGCAAGAUUAAAACUCAAAGGAAUUGACGGGGGCCCGCACAAGCAGCGGAGCAUGUGGUUUAAUUCGAAGCAACGCGAAGAACCUUACCUGGACUUGACAUCCCCUGAAUAGCCUAGAGAUAGGCGAAGCCCUUCGGGGCAGGGAGACAGGUGGUGCAUGGUUGUCGUCAGCUCGUGUCGUGAGAUGUUAGGUUAAGUCCUGCAACGAGCGCAACCCCUAUUAUUAGUUGCUAACAUUAAGUUGAGCACUCUAAUGAGACUGCCCGGGUUAACCGGGAGGAAGGUGGGGAUGACGUCAAAUCAUCAUGCCCCUUAUGUCCAGGGCUACACACGUGCUACAAUGGUGAGUACAACAAGAUGCGAACCCGCGAGGGGGAGCAAAACUUAUAAAACUCAUCCCAGUUCGGAUUGUAGGCUGAAACUCGCCUACAUGAAGCUGGAGUUGCUAGUAAUCGCGAAUCAGCAUG